rnacentral:rRNA from 1 species
UACGUAGGUGGCAAGCGUUGUCCGGAUUUACUGGGCGUAAAGCGUGCGCAGGCGGCGCGUUAAGACAGGUGUGAAAGCCCCGAGCUUAACUUGGGAAUUGCGCUUGUGACUGGCGUGCUGGAGUGUGGCAGAGGGAGGUGGAAUUCCACGUGCAGCAGUGAAAUGCGUAGAGAUGUGGAGGAACACCGAUGGCGAAGGCAGCCUCCUGGGCCAGCACUGACGCUCAUGCACGAAGGCGUGGGGAGCAAACAGG